rfam:Triticum aestivum genome assembly, contig: Triticum_aestivum_CS42_TGACv1_scaffold_272525_3DS
CGAGUACUCCCUCCGUCCGAAAAUACUUGUCAUCAAAAUAAAUAAAUAAAAGAUAUAUCAACAAUUAAAAUACGUCUAAAUACAUUUUUUUUAUCCAUUUUGAUGACAAGUAAUUUCAGACGAAGGGAGAAUAGU